GUAAAGUCAGCUAAACAAGCUAUCGGGCCCAUACCCCGAAAACGCCACACGGCCUUUACUA
rnacentral:tRNA from 1 species